UUAGAUAAUUUUUUUUUAACGUCGCUGAAAAACGCCAAUCCAAUCGUUCUCACGACAGUCGUGUAAAGGAAACGGAUUUUUAUCCGGUCAAGGAUUAUCAUUUCGGCACAUAAUUUUGAAAUUAAUUCAGCAAUGUUAUUUUACAGCAGCUAAUCCAAAAAAAAAUAGUUGGAAAGGAAAAUACCGAUGACAUCUCUUCGUUAUGUUGCGAUGGCUUGAUUAGCUAAUGUUAGUGUUGUGAGAGCUAGUAAGGUGUCGGCUUUCAACCAUUUAGAUAACGGAGACCAUACUGUCUUGGGAACGGCUCAUAUAAACACCAACAUUUAAAAGUUUUUGCCUUUGAAUAGUGGCAGUUUAUUCCAAACCGUACCGUGUCGGAAUGUUUUGUGCAUGAAUUACAAGGAAAUAAGAUGUAUAAACCCGAAAAUCGGCAGCAGUAAGGCACCUCGCAAAAAUAAACAGAGAAUAUAUUCAGAAUGAAUUGAAACUCUUUCAAUAUUUUUAUCCGUAGAGAAUGUAAAACUAGUAGCAAUGUAAGCAAGCCACUCAGAACUGUGAUGUUGCACGCAUAAAAUACAAAAUAUUGACGCUCAGCCAACAAAGUACUCGCCUUGCGAGUGAGAAGCGGAUACAAAAAAGUAGCAAAACCUCUAGAAUGUUUUAUGCAAGCACUUCAGGAACACUUUUUGGAUUAUGAAGCAAGUCAUACCUCAUUUCCAAAUACUAUCAACUCUAAGUGGUCCAAAGCAAAACAAAUUAUUCGGACCACUAUGGCAUAUACUAGCUGUCAUUCAAACUGACAGUUACGAUCUCCUUUUUUCAAAAUGUGAAGAAAUUGUAAUACGCUAUUUAUUUAAAGAGCAAUAAGAAUUUGAUUUAAAUUUAUUUUUUAUUAAACUCUGCUUUAUUUUUAUAAACAUUGUUUUGCAUUCCUCAUAAUACCUUAUUUUUACACGCAAAUAAACUUCGUUUCAUUGACGCUAUAAGACGUAUUUAAUACAACUGUACAGACAAUAAA